rnacentral:rRNA from 1 species
UGGCGGCACUAGCGCGGUGGUCCCACCUGACCCCAUGCCGAACUCAGAAGUGAAACGUCGUAGCGCCGAUGGUAGUGUGGGGUCUCCCCAUGUGAGAGUAGGGAAUCGCCAGGCA